rnacentral:rRNA from 1 species
CGGCGUGCCUAAUACAUGCAAGUCGAGCGAGCUUGCCUAGAUGAAUUUGGUGCUUGCACCAGAUGAAACUAGAUACAAGCGAGCGGCGGACGGGUGAGUAACACGUGGGUAACCUGCCCAAGAGACUGGGAUAACACCUGGAAACAGAUGCUAAUACCGGAUAACAACACUAGACGCAUGUCUAGAGUUUAAAAGAUGGUUCUGCUAUCACUCUUGGAUGGACCUGCGGUGCAUUAGCUAGUUGGUAAGGUAACGGCUUACCAAGGCAAUGAUGCAUAGCCGAGUUGAGAGACUGAUCGGCCACAUUGGGACUGAGACACGGCCCAAACUCCUACGGGAGGCAGCAGUAGGGAAUCUUCCACAAUGGACGCAAGUCUGAUGGAGCAACGCCGCGUGAGUGAAGAAGGGUUUCGGCUCGUAAAGCUCUGUUGGUAGUGAAGAAAGAUAGAGGUAGUAACUGGCCUUUAUUUGACGGUAAUUACUUAGAAAGUCACGGCUAACUACGUGCCAGCAGCCGCGGUAAUACGUAGGUGGCAAGCGUUGUCCGGAUUUAUUGGGCGUAAAGCGAGUGCAGGCGGUUCAAUAAGUCUGAUGUGAA